rnacentral:rRNA from 1 species
GAUGAACGCUAGCUACAGACUUAACACAUGCAAGUCGAGGGGAAACGAUAGAGAAAGCUUGCUUUUUCUAGGCGUCGACCGGCGCACGGGUGAGUAACGCGUAUCCAACCUGCCCAUCACUUGGGGAUAACCUUGCGAAAGUAAGACUAAUACCCAAUGAUAUCUCUAGAAGACAUCUGAAGGAGAUUAAAGAUUAUCGGUGAAGGAUGGGGAUGCGUCUGAUUAGCUUGUUGGCGGGGUAACGGCCCACCAAGGCGACGAUCAGUAGGGGUCCUGAGAGGAAGGUCCCCCACAUUGGAACUGAGACACGGUCCAAACUCCUACGGGAGGCAGCAGUGAGGAAUAUUGGUCAAUGGACGAGAGUCUGAACCAGCCAAGUAGCGUGCAGGAUGACGGCCCUAUGGGUUGUAAACUGCUUUUAUAAGGGAAUAAAGUGAGUCUCGUGAGACUUUUUGCAUGUACCUUAUGAAUAAGGACCGGCUAAUUCCGUGCCAGCCGCCGCAGUAA